CUUCGGAGCCCGACUUUUCGGUUCUUUGAAACCGGAACAAGGUUAAAUGGGUUACAAAGUAUCAGAAAAGUCGCGCUCUGAGA
rnacentral:pre_miRNA from 1 species